UACGUAGGCAGCGAGCGUUGUUCGGAAUUACUGGGCGUAAAGGGCGCGUAGGCGGCCUUCUAAGUCGAACGUGAAAUCCCUGGGCUCAACCCAGGAACUGCGUCCGAUACUGGAAGGCUUGAAUCCGGGAGAGGGAUGCGGAAUUCCCGGUGUAGUGGUGAAAUGCGUAGAUAUCGGGAGGAACACCAGUGGCGAAGGCGACUACCUGGCCUGUUUCUUGACGCUGAGGCGCGAAAGCUAGGGGAGCAAACGGG
rnacentral:rRNA from 1 species